GGUACAGUCCAAUCUAAAUAUAUAAAAUGAAAAGCUAACUGACUGACUGACUGAUCUAUCAACGCACAGCCCCAACUACAGGACGGAUCAGACUACAAUUUGGCAUGCAGAUAGCUAUUACUAGGUACGUAGAAAUCCGCUACGAAAAGAUUUU